CUAUGCUCCUUCAUAACAUUCGGCCUAACAUCUCCAUCGAGCUGCAGAGUGGAAACCUCACAUCUAUCAUGCAUGAACAAUAUUUUCUGCCUAUGACUUUGCUAAAACGAAAAGACAGAAAUGAAUACGACCAGUAAGAGAAGUUAAAGCUACAACUACAGCGCGAAAAGUCCCCAUGAAAGCGAGAAGACAAUUUCUUUCAUUCAAGUAGAACCGUCUUCAGCAAGGAGCCAAGGACUGGCUUGCUGACCAAGCCUGUUGUUUCUCUGAUUGAUUAGUUUAAAGCUUGAAAAAAGAUUGAUAUGAUGCUUGCGUCCAGCUGCACGUCACGCUUCUGUCCCAUCAGCAGCAAAUGCUCUCCUAUCCUCCAUAAACUGCUAUGAGUUUCAUUGACUCUUAACACCCAACUUAUGUCUGCAAACUUCAAAAAUCAUUAAUUGGCCUCAAACAGG